GAUGAACGCUGGCGGCGUGCCUAAUACAUGCAAGUCGAGCGAACGGACGAGAAGCUUGCUUCUCUGAUGUUAGCGGCGGACGGGUGAGUAACACGUGGAUAACCUACCUAUAAGACUGGGAUAACUUCGGGAAACCGGAGCUAAUACCGGAUAAUAUUUUGAACCGCAUGGUUCAAAAGUGAAAGACGGUCUUGCUGUCACUUAUAGAUGGAUCCGCGCUGCAUUAGCUAGUUGGUAAGGUAACGGCUUACCAAGGCAACGAUGCAUAGCCGACCUGAGAGGGUGAUCGGCCACACGGGAACUGAGACACGGUCCAGACUCCUACGGGAGGCAGCAGUAGGGAAUCUUCCGCAAUGGGGGAAAGACUGACGGAGCAACGCCGCGUGAGUGAUGAAGGUCUUCGGAUCGUAAAACUCUGUUAUUAGGGAAGAACAUAUGUGUAAGUAACUGUGCACAUCUUGACGGUACCUAAUCAGAAAGCCACGGCUAACUACGUG
rnacentral:rRNA from 1 species